UACAGAGGGUGCAAGCGUUAAUCGGAAUGACUGGGCGUAAAGGGCGCGUAGGCGGUUAAUCAAGUGAGGGGUGAAAACGUUGGGCUUAACCUAACGAGUGCCCAUCAGACUGAUAAGCUAGAGUGCAGUAGAGGAGAGCGGAAUUUCCGGUGUAGCGGUAAAAUGCGUAGAGAUCGGAAAGAACACCAGUGGCGAAAGCGGCUCUCUGGACUGUGACUGACGCUGACGUGCGAAAGCGUGGGGAG
rnacentral:rRNA from 1 species